rnacentral:rRNA from 1 species
CCUUGUACACACCGCCCGUCACACCAUGGGAGUGGGUUGCACCAGAAGUAGCUAGUCUAACCUUCGGGGGGACGGUUACCACGGUGUGAUUCAUGACUGGGGUGAAGUCGUAACAAAGGUACC